GACUAAGAAGGACAUGCUUAAGGUGUAUUGCUGCUCACAUGAUAAAUAAUCUUGCACAUUGACUUGAUUCACUCACAUUUAUGUAGCUGUUAUAAUUAUCUUCCUCUUUGUUAAUAUCUGUUAUUUCCCCUUAAAUUCUCUGAUGUGCUUGAUUUUAUGGAGUUUCUACGCACAUUUUCCUUAUCUCUGACACCAAUUAGUUAGAAUUAUGUAUUCUGGUCUGUAAAUAUGUUCAGGUUAAGGUGAAUACUGUACUUG
rnacentral:misc_RNA from 1 species